AUUGAACGCUGGCGGCAGGCCUAACACAUGCAAGUCGAGCGGAUGAAGGGAACUUGUUCCUGGAUUCAGCGGCGGAGGGGGGAGUAAUGCCUAGAAAUCUGCCUCGUAGCGGUGGAUAACGUCCGAAAACGGGCGAUAAUACCGAAUACGGCCUGAGGGAUAGCGUGGGGUGACUUCGUACCUCACGCUAUUACAUCAGCCAAGGUCGGAUUAGCUAGUUGGUGGGGUAAAGGCCCACCAAGGCGACGAUCCGUAACUGGUCUGAGAGGAUGAUCAGUCACACUGGAACUGAGACACGGCCCAGACUCCUACGGGAGGCAGCAGUGGGGAAUAUUGGGCAAUGGGCGAAAGUCUGAUCCAGCAAUGCCGCGUGUGUGAAGAAGGUUUUCGGAUUGUAAAGCUCUGUUAUUAGGGAGGAACGGCAGUAAGUUAAUACCAAGCUGUUUUGACGUUACCAACAGAAUAAGCACCGGCUAACUUCGUG
rnacentral:rRNA from 1 species